rnacentral:rRNA from 1 species
CCCAUAACAGGGGGAUAACCCGGAGAAAUCCGGACUAAUACCGCAUAAGACCACGAUAUCGCAUGAUAUAGAGGUCAAAUAUUUAUAGGUUAUGGACGGGCAUGCGUCUGAUUAGCUGGGUUGGCGGGGUAACGGCCCACCAAGGCAUCGAUCAGUAGGGGUUCUGAGAGGAAGGUCCCCCACAUUGGAACUGAGACACGGUCCAAACUCCUACGGGAGGCAGCAGUGAGGAAUAUUGGUCAAUGGGCGAAAGCCUAGAACCAGCCAUGUCGCGUGGAAAAGGAUGAAGGUCCUAUGGAUUGUAAACUUCUUUUGCAGGAGGGUAAAGUGAGCUACGUGUAGUUCAUUGCAAGUACCCUGCGAAUAAGCAUCGGCUAACUCCGUGCCAGCCGCCGC